rnacentral:lncRNA from 1 species
CUGCACACGCCACGUGGACCGAAAGUCACCGUGGCCACCACCUGGCAUACUAUGUGUAAUCCUGGUGUGUGAAGAGACCAGAAGAAGGUGCUGGAUUCCCAGGAACUGGAGUUACAGAAGGUUGUGAGCCACCAUGAGGAUGCUAGGAAUCAAACCCAGGUCCUCUGCAAGAGAUAGCAAGUGCUUUUGACAGCUGAGCCACCUCUCCAGCCCUCUCUUUAAGCCUAGUUUGCUCCAAUGAUCUAUUCAUAUUCUAAUGCCACUAAUACAUGCUAUAAAAAAUAAUUCAUAGUACAUGUACAAAUGAUAAAUGCACAGUUUGUUGGUUUGUGAUGGGCUCUUUGCUCUGUAGCACAGGCUGGCUCGGAAGUCACUCUAGGCAAUCCUCCUGCCUUACCCUCAAGAGUUCUGGAACUACAAGUAGGAGUUGCCAUAUGCCAUUUUAUAUAUACAUAUUUUUUUUCCAAAAAUGGGUUAUCUUUUGUAACCAGCACCAAAUCAAGAAGAAAUAUUACCUAUGUCCGAGAAGCCACCCAUGAGCCCUUUCCUGCCAGCACUCUCCUCAAGAGGGAAUCGCAGAAUAUGUACUCUCUUGUGUCUAGCUUCCUUUGUUUGAAUUACUUAAGCAAGAGUCGGGCUUAAUGUAUAUAAAGCUUGCCUAUUUAUUAUUAUUACUGUGUCCUAGUACAUUGUGAAAAUUGUCCAUAAUUUGCUUUUCUGUUUUAUUGCUAAUGUUAUUUUUUAUUGGAAUUACAUAUUUUUAGAUUAAAGAAACAUUGCUGUAUUUGUAUAAUCUUCCCAUAAAUUUAUGUCUUGGAUGUCCCGCUGUUGUGUUUUACAGUUUUCAUCAUAUAGAACUUACAUGUAUCUUAAGAUUAUUCAUAGAUAUUUGAAUGCCUUGAUUAGUAUAGAGAUUUAAAGAUAUUUUAUUUUCAUGUGUAUAUGGAUAGGUUCAUAUGAAUCCGGAUAAAUUCAGGUUCUUUGCAAGUGCAGCAAACACUCUUAAUUGGGGAGCUGUCUCUAGUUUACCCUUUAAACAUUUUAUUUGUUUUUAAUUAGUUUAUUUGUUGUGAGGUUGUGCAUGAGUGUAUGAUGUGAGUAUGGCAGUCAGAAAGUGUGUUUGUGUGUGUGUAUGCUUUCUUGAGUGCAUUGUGGUACAUGUGUAACAGACACAGAACAACUCGUGAGAGUUCGCUCUUCCUUCCACCAAAUAGGUCGAGAGGCUUGGUGGCAAUCAUCAUCACCUACUAAGUCAUCUUGUUAGCCACUAUAGCUAUUUUUGUUUAAUGCUAGAAGGUAGAAUAUUUAAAUCCAAGGAAUAAUGUCCAGUAUUGUUAUAAAGGGCACAUGAUUAAAGGUCCAUCAUCUUCCAGGUCCAGUAUGGGAGAGGGCAGACCAAGAAAUGAAAUGGAAGUUCAGAGUAGGAAUUAAAAACUGAAAUUUUAAGCCACAGGGACAUAUUUUAAAAUUUAAUUGUGCAUGAGUGCAUGUGUGUGUGUCUAUGUGUGUGCAUGAGUGUGUGUGUGUGCAUGAGUGUGUUUGUGUGUGUAUCUAUGUGUGUGCAUGAGUGUAUGUGUAUGUGUGUGUAUCUAUGUGUGUGCAUGAGUGUAUGUAUGUGUAUCUGUGUGUGCAUGAGUGUGUGUGUGUGCAUGAGUGUGUGUGUGUGCAUGAGUGUGUUUGUGUGUGUAUCUAUGUGUGUGCAUGAGUGUAUGUGUAUGUGUGUGUAUCUAUGUGUGUGCAUGAGUGUAUGUAUGUGUAUCUGUGUGUGCAUGAGUGUGUGUGUGUGCAUGAGUGUGUGUGUGUGCAUGAGUGUGUGUGUGUAUGUAUCUAUGUGUGUGCAUGAGUGAGUGUGUGUGUAUCUAUGUGUGUGCAUGAGUGUGUGUGGUCAUGCUCUUGCUCUGGUGAGUGUUAGAGGACAACUUGUGGGAGUUGGUUCUCUCCUCCCACCAUAUGGGUCAUGAGGACUGAACUCAGGUCAUAUCACUUUACCUCAUGAGUUAUCUCACCAGUUCUCUUCAUCAGGAUAAUGAAAAUCCAGGUAUUAUUACUUAUAAUAUCAAGGAGCAGCAAGAAUAAGUGAAAUGGCUCAAAACUCACUCCCAAGUCCCUAUGAAUUUAGUAUUUUUCGUCUUAUUUCCUUCAGGAGCCCAAAGCAGGAUUGAAGUUGUGGGAUGCUGGAUUGGAUAGAGUGUGAUUUCUUUCAUUUCCACCUCCUAAAGGUCUUUCCUUGGAAGGCUUCUGAUCGGGCUUCAGGAGGCUGUACGUGAGAUGAGUUAAAGUCUACACUGCCUAAAGGAGUCAAUGGACAGGAGUUUCUACUCAGUAGCCCAAAGCAGAAAGUGGGCUUUAGAGGAUGGGAGCUAGCUUAUCAGUUAAGAGUGCAUACUGUUGUGCCCACAGCUCACAACCACAGGUAACUCCGGCUUCAGGAGGGAUCCAACGCCUCUGGCCCUUGUGGGCGUCUGCACUCCCAUGCAUGCGCCCACACAGAGAUGCAUGUAACAAUAAUUGAAAAAAAAAUGCCGACUUUAAACAGCAUGAGGAUCUCAUACAAAGGCAGCCUGGCCCCAUGUUUUCUUCUCAAGCCAUAGGCGAGUGAUCCUUUCAACUGCUACUGUGUUGUGUAAGCCUUUAAAAAGCAACACUUGCCUCUACUUUGCCCACUCCACCCAGAAGUUACAGUCUCCUCCCCUAUCAAUCAAAUUUCCACUAGAAACCCGUCAUUGACUCUUGUCGUUUAUGCUGGUGCUCCUGUCCUGUCUUUACAUCCUGAUCAGGGGUCCCAGGAGGGAGAUUCUCACCCUCCACCGCCACCCUUUAAGGCAGAGGUUCUCAACUUUCCUAAUGCUGUGAUCCUGCAAUACAGCACCUCAUGCCGUGCUGACCCCAACCAUCAAAUUAUUUUUGUUGUUACUUAACUGUAAUUUUGCUAAGGUUAUUAAUUUUAAUGUAAAUAUCAGAGGUUUUUUUUUUUUAAUGGUCUUAGGCAACUCCUGUGAAAAGAUCAUUGGUGCCCCAAGGGGUCGCAACCCACAGGCUGAGCACUAUUGCUUUAAGGGUUCUUAUUUGGUUUCCUUUACCGAGAAGUUUAGAGGAACAGGACUUGUGAGCUAUGAUAGAGCUAGAUAGUCUCUAGCCUGAGCUAUCCUCAUGUUCCUCUUUAGAGCAGGAGUCCCACCAAGAUGUCCCCACUUGUCCCUGAGAGAUAACAACGGAUAGGGGAAGGGGACAGGGAGCAUCAUAGCACCUGCUGUAGUAUCUCUGUUACACUGUAAUGCCUUUAUCCUUGUUUUUAAUGGACACUGGGGAAGCAAAGGCAGCUUGAGACCUCAUCUCAGCUUUACUUCUGCAAACAGGUUUCCAAGACCCGAGGCCUUAACCUGCACUCCACGGGGUCUGUGUUUGCUUUGGAGUGACUGGAUAAUGGGACACAUUUACCAUCAAAGCUUGUACUAGAUGGUCUCAAGAGAAGCCUGUGAUUCCAAGGCGAGGUUGUUGCUUUGCAGGGCUUUCAUCCUUGAAUAGAAUCCAGCACAGCAAAGGAAAACCAGAAAUCAGAAAUUAGAGGAAACAAUCGGUCAGGGACCAGUAUGGAAGAGUGCUGAAAUGGUCCCAGAGGGCUUUAGGUCUAUAGUUCUCUCAGCCUACGGACUCCGAUGCUCUUCCAAAAUGGAAGGAAGGGGCGGGGGUGGGUUGGAAUGGUUUUAAGAAGGUCCUUUCCAGCAGGGCUAGACAAAAGCUGGCCAGAGUGAGUGGAUCCAGAUGGUUCUGGUUGUUCUACCAUACUGGAAGUCCUUUAACCUAAGAGGUUUCUGAAGUUAGAACCCCCGAAGUACCCAUGUUUUAAUUAUAAUAAAAUUCUCUUCUGAGAGAUACGGGCAUUCCCUUUCCAUUUGUCUGAUGCCUAGAAUUUCUGCUCCUCUCUGCAGUCCUUGGGGGCAGACAAACCUCUAAGAGAGGGAGAAGAGAGUAAAAGCAGCUUCCUGUGUCAGGUACAUCAGUCAUAGGGGAAAGGUCAGAGUCAACAGCUGGACCCAGACCCCCGUAACAGUGGGGUGGGUAGGAUAGAAAUGUCACUUUUCUCACAGCCCCAUGUUACACAACUGAGGCUUGGAGAGUCUGUUACAAGAGCAGAACGAUGAUCCUGUUGUAGAGCAGAAAUGGUAGAUCUGGAGUCAGCCACCUCUGAGUUUCUAAGUAUAGCUUCCUUAUUAACCAGCUCUGUGCACUUGAACAACUCAAUCUAAUUUACCUUUGGGGUUAAUGUGAGGAUUACACACACACACACACACACACACACACACACACACCCCUAUGCAAUCACAACUGAGCUAAGUUACCUUUCCAGGCCGGUCAGGUAAAAGACUGGCUGGCAGAUUACCAGAAAAGCUGGUGAAGUGCUCAACACGGUAACCUUAAAUGAAUGGGUCUCACGUCUCCAAGGUGUCCUCAGAAAGCUAUGCAAGAAUAUGGAGUGGGGUGGAGGUGGCAUGGGCUUGGUGCCACAUGCCUUGAAUGCCAGUACUUUCGAGGCAGAGGCAGGCCUCUGGGAGUUUAAAGUCAAUCUGGCCUGCAUAUCAUGUUCCAGACCAAACAAUGAGAACCUGUCUUAAAAAGGGGGAGUGGAGGUUGGGAGGGAGGCUGGAGAGAUGGUUCAGUGUUUCAGAGCCGCUUGCUGCUUUUGUAGAAGACUUGGGGUUAGUUACCAGCACCCAUAUGUUGGCUUACAGCCAUCUGAAAGGCCAGUUCCAGGUAUCCAAUGUUCUCUUCUGGCCUCUGUGGGCACCAAGAACACACAUGGUGUACAUACAUACGUGCGGUUGUUCAUCCAUACACAUAAAAUAAAAAUAAAUCUUAGAAUAGUGGUAGUGGGAAACAACUCACAGGUAUUCUCCAGGUCCCAGCCUAAUACACUGCUGGUGGGAGAGGAGGGAGAGGAGGUUGCUAGAUGGUUCUUUGGACUGUGAGGACACCGAGGAGCUUGGGGUCUUAGCAUUGCCUAUGUCUCAAGAACGUCCUUUUCUCCAGUCUUACCCUAUAAACCCCAUAAUCCUUACAACCACUUCUGGCCCUCCCAAGCGCUUGUGUCCUCUCACAUCCAGUUUUGCUGGCUCAGUGAAGCCAGCUGCUUUCACCUGUCAGGGGCAGACUGAGCUAGGACUCAUUGCAGUGAGCAGAAUCUCCUCAGAGCAAGGACAAUGGCAGGGCAGCCGCUAGAAAGCUCAUGGUGACAUAUGUUUCGGUGUGAGGUGGGCAGGGACUCAGCAAGGAGGAGGGAAACUAAGGACACUGGGUAGAUGCUGCAGUCAAAGGAAAAAGACUCCCUGUGGCUGCCUCAGUCUCCACCUGUCAGCCCCUUUUCCUGUCCUCGCUGUCCCCCUUCCUCCCCCCACCCCACCCUGCUGGUGAUGCUGUCACUCUGAGCACCCAGCAUUUCUGUGUUUGUAUCUCUGCUCUGUCCUCUGUUGGACGCACACUGUAAUAGUCAGCAAUUCUCUCUCACACUCCACUUGCUCUGUAAGGUGACAUCUAUCCAGGGACAGCUUCCCACUGGGACCACACUACAUGCAGACUUUGGAGCUGAGGCUGGUGUGAAGCACCCAGGCAGCUGCUGCCCCCUCCCUCCCACUUCUCACUGUGGCUGGCGGAGGAGCUGCUCAUCCUGGCUCACAGCUGUGCAUUCUUGUGUUUGUUAGCAUUUUUUUUUUUUCCCUAGGAGUUCCCCUCUGGCUUUCCCUUUGCCAAGCAUGCCUGGAAUACACAACACUGGGAACCGCGGACAAUGUGAAAUAGGAGAGUUCUGUGUAGGAAUCCCUCCAAAGAUAGCAGCAUCUUGCCUUCUUUGUCUCAACAGAGGAGAGGAAAGGGGAAAGGAUGCAGACCAAGGGGAUGAGAAGUGCUGACAUCUGCAGGCUCCUGGCCCUCCUCACCUGUGAGGUGGAGGCUAGAUGACCAGUGGCUAAAAUGGGAAGAAGUAGGUGGAAGUAAAUGAAGUUCCAGAGAUCAUGUUUCCUUCUGCUGCCACUGCAGUGGCUUGUGACAGUCAGGAAGGUGGUGGAGGCUCCUGCAGGCAGAGGCCACACUCCCCUGCAUGCACUGGAAUCCUUGGCUGGAAUCCCUUCCUGUACCUAAGGGCACUGGCUGGAUUGGGUACCGGGUAGCAGAAAAGAACGGGAGCCUGCCUGCCUGCCUGCCUGCCUGCCUGCCUGCCUUGGAGCAGACUCUAAAAAGCUGGAGAUGCUUCUCAGCUCCACUUCUGAAACAAUCUUGUGGUUGUGUUUGGCACCUGGUCCUGGCUAUUAGAGGAUAUACAGACAUGGAGAGCAGACCGGAGCCUUGUCAGCUUUCCUGCCUUGUGUGAGUGGGUGCCUGGGAUCAGGGGAUGUGCUGGCGAUGAGGUCUGUGUCUGCAGUUCCCUGGGUCCCUCAGAGAAGAUGCAGCAAUGCCAUGCUCAGACUAGAGCAGCAAUCAUAAUGCAGGCGACAGGUGUGGGAAGGCUGUGCUGUUUGGCAUGAAGCUGUGGUUCAGAGACCUUAGUCCUACUUCUCCCUUUGGCUUCUGAAGUGGACUUGGGUGGUCUUUAGCAUGGAUGGAAAAGUCAGAAUAACUUGGCAGUGACCCGAUUACCCCCAGAGUUCUUGUCCCCCGAGGGCCGAGGUGCCACAAAAUCAAAAGUCAUGUGGUGCUUGACCCGGCCCUUGCCCUUACUCCAAAGAGCAAUCAGACCAAAGCAGAGGGUCACUGAGGUGAGGAAGGGGAGGAAACCCACUGCUAGCACCAUAGCCACACCCCUGCUGUCCAGAAAGAAAGGCCCUGGGAUCCCUGGCAUAGUGAUGUUGGGGUCAGACAGAGUGCCAUUUGGUGGCUCAACUUGGAUAACUUCCAGCCAGGUUCUCAGAGAGUCAUUCCCAGCGACAUUACUGACUACACAGACAUAGGCCCCCCUGUCCCGCAGCUGUACCGAGCGGAUCUCCAGUGUACCAUCCUCUAGUACCCUUACUCUCCCAACCCUUCCUAGCCAAGCUCCCUGUGGUCUCAUCCAGGAAACAGUGGGGGCUGGGUCCCCAUCUCCAGAGCAGGAGAAAACAGCAUGCCCGCCCUCCUCUGCAAUGACCCAACGAGGCCCCGACUUUCGGAUCAGGGCUGGUUUGCAAGUGAAGUGGCCUGGAGGCAGAAUGUCUGAAAACUCCCUUAGGCUCUUCCCUUGGACAUGUUGGGGGCCAGCACAAGCAGGGGGGGAUGUGCCGAAGUCCAGGCGGCGGCGGAGGCGGAGGAGCCAGAGGAGGCGGCAAUCACAGGUUAGGGGGUUACCAGACAGCCUCAGGGUGACCAGUUUGUCUGGAGAAGGAAAGGCUGUUUCCUCUAGAGUCUGAAGAGCAUUGUCUGCUACAUCCAGCAAGUGGAAGGCAGUCAAGCCGUGGAAGGCAUGAGCAGCGAUUGAGGUGAGGCAAGCUCCUGACAGCCUGAGCUCCUGGAGCCGUACCAGGGGGCUGAGCCUUCGAGCUGGGAUGGCUGAGAUAGGAUUCUGAGAUAGAUCCAAGAUCCGGAGGAAGCUCAAGUGGUGCAGUGCUUGGAAGGGUACUGAGCUCAGAUUGCAGCGGGUGAUAGCCAGGCUGCUCAGGUUGAGGCCAACCAGGCUCCCUGGAUCCAGAGCCUCCAGAGAUGGCCAGUGGUGGAUCUCCAGCUCCUUUAGCUGCCCUAGCCCUCGAAGUGCCCCAGCUGGUAGCCUCUCAAUAUCCAGUUCUCGAAGCCUAAGAGCUACUAGUGCUGGGAGCUGGGCAAGGGCUAGGCCAGGCACUGUGCUGAGGUUGCAACGUUCCAGAGUGAUGGUACUUAACUUGGCCAGCCCUGCAAAAGCCCCCGGAGCCACAAACACCAGGUGGUUAUCUCCAACCUCCAGCUGCUGGAGACUACCUAGCUCACUAAAGGCUCCAUCUAGAAAGAGGACAAUCUGAUUGAGGCGGAGGUCCAGCAGUGUGAGGGCAGUCAGGCCUGAGAAUAUCCCAGGACCCACAAUUCUCAGUCGAUUGCCCUGCAGCCUCAGGGUGAGUAGACUUUGUAGGCCAUGGAAAGCCCCAGGCUCAAGGGUGGAAAGCUGGUUGUAGCUGAGGUCCAGUUCUUGGAGCUGGCCCAGUCGGGAGAGCAUGCCACGCUGAAGCCCCCACAGGCGGUUCCCACUCAAAUCCAGGAGUUCUGUGUCCAGUGGAAGCCCUCCGGGAAUAGUGUCCAGUCGCCUGUGGGCACAGAAUACUGCCCGGGUCUGGGAGGUGCAGUCACACACAGUGGGGCAGCUACUGAUGCUCCCUCCAGGCAGGAGGAGCAGGAAAAGGAGUGGGGACCAUGGGAGCCAGGCUUGCUUUGGAGCAGUGGCUGCGUCCAUCCCCUGAGGCCUGGAAUAGAUGAUGACAUGGUCUCUUUUGAAAAGUGGCUUCAGAUGGUGGUGACCCUGCACUGCACCGAACCUCCUUAAAGGGGAGGAAAGGUGGAUCUUGCCAGUAAGUGUGGCACACAACCAGGGAGACUUGAUGUACCUUAAUGGGGAAAUCUCUCCUUUGCAGCCAUAGAAAACUGGCCAAGUACUUCCUGUUCAUGAUCCCUAGUCAAGCUGAUUUCUGUAGUGGAAAGUUUAAGGGACUGAGUAGUGGGGAAAGAACCCUGCAUCUCCCUGUAAGGCGCUUUCCCCUGUAUUUAUGAGACCAGGAAUUCCUCAGGACCCAUCUCCCUGACAUCUGCUUUCUACAAACUCUGCUAUGUCCCUCUUACCCCAUUCUUAUUCUCCCAUAUGUUGUGCCUACAACUUUACCCAAGGAUCAGGGAGAUCCCAUCCAGACUUGAGAGAGCUUCUGACCCUGGGCUGACUGGGAAAAGGUUCUUAGUUUGACCAAAUCAUCAGAAGCUAAGAAACAUGCAGGCUUCAGCUCUGCUCUAGUCUCUGCCCUCUUUCCGCCUGGCCCAAGGCCCAGAGUAGCCAAUUUGGUGUCCCAAACUGUUUGUGUGGAUGGUAAGCCUGGCUGUAUAUUAUUCAUGGAACAGAGUGCAGGGGCACUGGAGGAUGGGAUUGGGAUCCUUUACCAGAGCCCCAAGGACAGCACCUCUUCCCUU